UCCUCUUUCUCUCUACAUCUCCACGAAAAGGCUCCGAAAACCCCAAUCUCAAUCCUCUCCAUCUCCACACCUAUCGUUCGGCCACACUUCUCAUCGACACCAAACCAUGGAGUCCCAAAAGAAAUCACAUCUCGACCACACUUCUCGGUUUCUCAUUGAUGUCGACCGGCCACGACAUUUUGGUCAGCCCUACUAGAUUUCUCAAUCGACAGCGACCCACAAAGCUGACACCACACGACUCGGUUUCUCAUCGACGAUGACCCAUCUCUCCAGUUCUCAAUCUAAAAUUUCUUAUGAUCCACCUAGCGACCCAUCUACUAGAAGCCUCAUCCGUCGGAAAGGAAAUCCUUUACGCAGAAACUUCAUCAUUUUUGUUCAGGAAAAUUGAUUUUCAUGCUAUGUUCUCUUUCUUUUUUUUGUUUCUAUGUUUUUCUUUGGUUCUUUUUGGCGUCUCUUGAUGUGCACGUUUGAUUUUGAUGAACUUUCUUGCUGUUUCUCCUUGUCGAUGUGUUUUAAAUCGUGAAUGAUUGCACUUGUAUGAUUUUUUAUAAGCAUUUCAAUUUUCAGUUUAUUGCUGGAAUAGAUGUUGAGAAAAUGAGUUUUGCACCUUUAAAUUUGAUGUCGUUUAUGUGGGAAGUAGCUGCUCUUUUUUGUUAUAGAUAGAGGAAACAACGCAAUUUGAGAGAUUGAACUUAACUACGAUGACUGCAAUACCCAACUUGGGUAGAAUAAAAAGUGUAUCAUCCCUGCCAUUUUCAUUCAUCACUCUUAGUAAAUAAAACCAUUCAUUUAUGCUAUUUAUUCUUAUUGGUGACAUGAAAUGUUUAAUUUCUCUUUGCAAGGGCAGUAUUGUUGGUUGCUACAAAUAUUUCCGGUUACCUUCUUGCUUUGCUCCAAAGUAGGUUGAAAAGCUAUGUUUCUUCACAGAAGGAUCAAGAUGUAAGAAGUCAGAAAAUGAUCAAAUCACCACGCCAGUUGAGGUGCUUGGAACAAAUGACUUUGGUUACCAUUGCAGAAGUUUGUGAUGCUAAUCCAUAACUCAUUGUAAUUGGUGAACUUCGGGCCCUUGUACCAAAGUUAUGCUGAUAUGCCAUUUUUCUUGUCAUGGGUUGUACAAGUUGCAAUAGGAUUUGAUUAUAUAUAUAAACAUCCAUUCAAGCAGUUAUAGUUGGUUGAAGGGUUUGUAUUACAAUUGAAGUGCUUUGAUUAUAUAUGGUGUUUUUUGUUCUGUUGACUUUUGUUUUGUUUUAUCUAUUCAAGCAACAAAUUUUUCGUAAGGAGGGGCUAUGUGGAAUGUAUAGAGGUCGUGCAGCUAUAGUGCUUGCAUUACUGCCUAACUGGGCUGUUUAUUUCACAAUAUAUGGGCAGCUUAAAACCUUUCUUGGCUCUAAUGGUGCUAAUAUGAUGGUUGCUUUUGGUGCUAAAGCUGCUACAACUAUUGCAACAAAUCCUUGAUGGGUUGUCAAGACCAGGCUUCAUGUAUGGAUUUCAAGCUUAUUUUCUUGAUUUUCCUUUUCUCUUGAGGAAAAGCUCACGGUUUUCUCUUUGAAAUUCUGUGAUGUUGGGAUUUCUUGUGGACAUAAUUGAAUUGUAUGAAGAAGUUAAGGUUUGUAGAGUUUGAGACCAUUUUGGAAUUGUGUUGUUGGAUGGAAGAACGGUUCAUAUAGUGGUUUGAAGUGGUUAAACUCCUUGAUAUUAGUUUAAA